AGCAAUUUUAGGGAUAGCGCAUGAAACACGCCCACUGACACACCUCCAGGCCCAAAUGACAGAGUCGGCAUAAGGGAUAGCGGGUAGUGUGGGCGCAAGAUACCAUUUAGGAAGUGGAAGUUCCUAAAUCCGCAAUUUGCGGGUAGCGGGUAGUGGCAGCGGGUAGCGGGUAGCACAAGAUAGGGCCCAAAGGUUUUAGGUAAGCUUUCUUAUUUUCAGUCAGGUAGCAGACAGUAAGAGUGAGGAUGAUUUAAAAAAGGAAAGUCUUUUUGCAUUCACUUUUCUGUAGAUUUUCAGUUUUGAGUCCAAUUAAUAAAGAUAUCAGCGUGCAUGCUAUUCUUGGCGUUACCAUCGAAGAGUGCGGUGCAAUAUCAAACUUCACUCACUUUAACUCAAAGAACAGAAAAAAAUAAACUUUGUCCCACUCAGCCUGCGCUCCACUAUUCAUUUCUGUUUUGUAGUCAGCCUCUGUUUUAUGGUAGGGGCUAUUCCCAAUUGAAUGUUUUAUUCACUGUUAGCACUGUAUUGUAUGUGAUGGCUGUUUAUGUAGGCAGCCUGGCCCCACAAGCCGCCGCUGCCCAUGUGUCUGUUGGCAGACCGGGAGGAAAGAGUCGAGUAGGACGGACCUCCCCAUCGCAUUUAAACAGCCUCUGCAUGUCGACGCAGAUCGGGCAGCAUCCAGAACUAAAGCACUGGGGGUUUACUAUGAAAUAUGUGGCAGGUGCAGGCACAUUGCUAUUUAAAUGGUCCUUGAGCUGAACAAUACAUACAUGCUCCAAACUGUGACUAGCGGUUUAGAUUUUUUACUUGAACUGUUCCAAAAUGUCAGCUGAUCCAUAGUUAAAAACUCCAAACAUAGGGAAUAAUAUUUAACAUACAUUUAAACAUUCCUGUAAACAUUCAAAGACUAUUCAGCACUAGAGAUGGGCCAUACGCUCUGAGGGGAACACUGAUUUUAAAGCAACCUAGAGUUCGCACCACUCUGAAAACCCUGUGCAUAUCAGUUUGUGGAGUGAAACAGUGGAAUGGUCUUCCUGAUAAUGUUAAACUAAGCAGAAAUGUCUUACUUUUUAAAAAACGGUUCAAAUUCAUGAUAUUAGAAAAAUACAGAUUAGAAGGAUAGUUGAUUACUGCUGUUAGAUCCAGUCGGGUACCAAGCAUGACGAUGUUAUUUGUGACAGGGAAUAGGGCCUAUGUUCCCCAAAAUCCCACUCCUCACCUGACUCUGAAGGCAACCUUGGUAGGUGGGUGUGGAGAGGUAGCAGCUCCACCCACAGACCAAUCUCCCAAUUUGCGGCUCACGGCAGGUGUAUAUAAAGGGGUUAGCUCAUCAGCCAGUAUGCAAUGCUGGUUGAUGGGCUGCCCUGGUGAUUUCUCCUGCUGUGAGCUGCCAAUUGAGCUGUGUGGCCCCAGUUGGGAACAAGACAUGAGUUCUCCCUCCAGCAGAGGUUUGAGUCUGUUCUAGGACUGGUAAGUAGGGUGCUUGGUGGCACCUGAGGUAAAUUUAUUAGAUAUAUAUACUGUAGCACUGUAGGAUAACCAUUGUGUUUUCUCAUAGGUUCCUGCAGUUGCUGUUUUCUGCCUCCCAGUUUUUGAUAUGUUGUCCAUGUGAACCUCUGGUAUACCUGCUGUCGUUCUUAAGAUAAUUCUUGUACUUUUAUUGGAGUGUUGUGUUUUUCACAGGUUGUGAGUGCCGCCAGGUGGGGUCAGCCACCCGGGUGAGGUCUCCUUCACUGUGUUGCUGUGGCUUGGAGCACUGGGCACCUUUUUUUCUCUUUUGUUUUAGUUUGCUGUGUGUGUGUGUGAGUGUAUGCACCCCCGGACACUCUUCCCCUUUAAAACCUGCCCCCAUCUUUUCGGCGGCCUCAGCCAUAACCUUGUUCCAGUGUGUUUUAGUGGCACAUGAUAUUUUUAGCUUGUGGAUCUGUUUAAAAUAAUUGCUCAUUGUAAUAAAAUAUAUCUUUAUACGUAC